rnacentral:misc_RNA from 1 species
AAGUCGUAACAAGGUCUCCGUUGGUGAACCAGCGGAGGGAUCAUUACAGAGUUGCAAAACUCCCAACCAUUGUGAACCUACCUCACCGUUGCUUCGGCGGGUGGCCUGGGGCAACCCAGGCCGCGCCGGCUCCCCUUCAAGGGCCUUGGCAGACCCGUCAGAGGACCGAAACUCUUCGUCAUCAGUGGCCUCUCUGAGUAACUUAUACAAUAAGUCAAAACUUUCAACAACGGAUCUCUUGGUUCUG